rnacentral:rRNA from 1 species
GACGAACGCUGGCGGCGUGCUUAACACAUGCAAGUCGAACGAUGAAACCUAGCUUGCUAGGUCGAUUAGUGGCGAACGGGUGAGUAACACGUGACUAACCUGCCCCUUUCUCUGGGAUAACGCUUCGAAAGGAGUGCUAAUACCGGAUACUCAAAUCGAGGCCAAUGCCUUGAUGUGGAAAGUUGUUCGGAAAGGGAUGGAGUCGCGGCCUAUCAGCUUGUUGGUGAGGUAACGGCUCACCAAGGCGACGACGGGUAGCCGGCCUGAGAGGGCGACCGGCCACACUGGGACUGAGACACGGCCCAGACUCCUACGGGAGGCAGCAGUGGGGAAUAUUGCACAAUGGGCGCAAGCCUGAUGCAGCGACGCCGCGUGAGGGAUGAAGGUCUUCGGAUUGUAAACCUCUUUCAGUAGGGACGAAGCGAAAGUGACGGUACCUAAAGAAGGAGCACCGGCUAACUACGUGCCAGCCGCCGCCGUAA